GUGCUCGUUUCGGCAGCACAUAUACUAAAAUUGAAAUGAUACAGAGAAGAUUAGCAUGGCCCCUGCACAAGGAUGACAUGCAAAUUCGUGAAGUGUUCCAGUAUUAA
rnacentral:snRNA from 1 species